rnacentral:rRNA from 1 species
CAGCCGCCACGGUAAUACGGAGGGUGCAAGCGUUAAUCGGAAUUACUGGGCGUAAAGCGCACGCAGGCGGUCUGACAAGUCAGAUGUGAAAUCCCCGGGCUUAACCUGGGAACUGCAUUUAAAACUGUCAGGCUGGAGUCUUGUAGAGGGGGGUAGAAUUCCAGGUGUAGCGGUGAAAUGCGUAGAGAUCUGGAGGAAUACCGGUGGCGAAGGCGGCCCCCUGGACAAAGACUGACGCUCAGGUGCGAAAGCGUGGGGAGCAAACAGGAUUAGAUACCCCCGUAGUCCUGCUCUUAUACAC